UACGGAGGGUGCAAGCGUUAUCCGGAUUUACUGGGUUUAAAGGGUGCGCAGGCGGAUAUGUAAGUCAGUGGUGAAAUCUCCGGGCUUAACCCGGAAACUGCCGAUGAUACUAUAUAUCUUGAAUGCUGUGGAGGUAAGCAGAAUAUGUCAUGUAGCGGUGAAAUGCUUAGAGAUGACAUAGAAUACCUAUUGCGAAGGCAGCUUACUACGCAGAUAUUGACGCUCAUGCACGAAAGCGUGGGGAUCAAACAGG
rnacentral:rRNA from 1 species